GUCCGCAACGAGCGCAACCCCUAUUGUUAGUUGCCAUCAUUCAGUUGGGCACCCUAGCGAGACUGCCGGUAAUAAACCGGAGGAAGUGGGGAUGACGUCAAAUCAUCAUGCCCCUUAUGACCUGGGCUACACACGUGCUACAAUGGUGGGUACAACGAGUUGCGAGUCGGUGACGGCGAGCUAAUCUCUUAAAGCCAAUCUCAGUUCGGAUUGUAGGCUGCAACUCGCCUACAUGAAGUCGGAAUCGCUAGUAAUCGCGGAUCAGCACGCCGCGGUGAAUACGUUCCCGGGCCUU
rnacentral:rRNA from 1 species